CGGCUAGCACAUCUAAGGAAGGCAGCAGGCGCGUAAAUUACCCAAUCCUGACUCAGGGAGGUAGUGACAAGAAAUAGCAAACCGGGAACCUCAUGGUUUCACGGUAUUGCAAUGAGAACAAUUUAAAACCCUUAGCGAGAAUCAAGUGGAGGACAAGUCUGGUGCCAGCACCCGCGGUAAUUCCAGCUCCACUAGCGUAUAUUAAAGUUGUUGCAGUUAAAAAGCUCGUAGUUGAACCUCUGUCUGGGGCUAGUUUUGGCUUUGGUCAGGCUAGUUCUAGGCAUCCGCCUACAAGACUUAGAGGGCAUUCAGUUGUUCACUAGGAGGAGUAGGCAUUUUACUUUGAAAAAAUUAGAGUGUUUAAGGCAGGCAAUCGCCCGCAUAUAUUAGCAUGGAAUAAUAGAAUAGGACACUUUUCCAUUUCGUUGGUUAUUGGAAUCGUGUAAUGAUUAAUAGGGACAGUUGUGGGCAUUUGUAUUUAAUUGUCAGAGGUGAAAUUCUUGGAUUUAUUAAAGACAAACUAACGCGAAAGCAUUUGCCAAGGAUGUUUUCAUUAAUCAAGAACGAAAGUUAGGGGAUCAAAGACGAUCAGAUACCGUCCUAGUCUUAACUAUAAACUAUUCCGACUCAAUGUUUGACUGGCUUAUAUAACCAGUUGAGCGUUGUAUGAGAAAUCAAAGUCUUUAGGUUCUGGGGGGAGUAUGGUUGCAAAGCUGAAACUUAAAGGAAUUGACGGAAGAGCACAACCAGGAGUGGAUUCUGCGGCUUAAUUUGACUCAACACGGGGAAACUUACCAGGUUAAAACAAUAGUGGGAUUGACAGUUUGAGAGCGCUUUCUUGAUUGGUUGGGUGGUGGUGCAUGGCCGUUCUUAGUUGGUGGAGUGAUUUGUCUGCUUAAUUGCGUUAACGAACGAGACCUUAACCUGCUUACUAGACUGGCGAUCAUCAAUCGUUAGCUCUUCUUAGAGGGACUUUGGUUGUUUUAACUCCAAGGAAGUUUGAGGCAAUAACAGGUCUGUGAUGCCCUUAGAUAUCCUGGGCCGCACGCGUCAUACAAUGACUAGUUCAGAAAGUUUUCUCCUGACCCGAAAGGGGAUGGGUAAUCUUGAUAAUACUAGUCGUGUUAGGGAUCGAUCUUUGCAAUUAUAGAUCUUGAACGAGGAAUUCCUAGUAAGUGCGGUUCAUCAGACCGUACUGAUUACGUCCCUGCUCUUUGUACACACCGCCCGUCGCUUCUACCGAGUGGGUGGUCCGGUGAGAUAAUUGAACUUCGCAGGUAACUGAGAGGAAAGAUUAUCAAACCUAUCCACCUCGAGGAAGAAGAAGUCGUAACAAGGUU
rnacentral:rRNA from 1 species